AAAAAAAAAAAAAAAAAAAGCAUCAAGUUCACUUCCUAUUUUUAAACUUAUCCACUUCUCUCUUAUCUUUGCUGAUGCUUCUCUAGUACAACAGUUUCUUUAUUGGUCUUCCUGCCGGAUGGCCUGGAUUCAUCCUAGAACAUUUGACUCUCUCUGCCUCACUCAUCUUUAAAUGGGGAUCACAACAGAACCUACCUCAUAAAGUUAUUGUGAAGGUUAAAUGAGCUAACGCAGGUAGAGUGUUCAGCAUAGGAUAUAAUUAGCACUCAGUAAGGGUAACCUAUUAUUCUCCAUAAAGCUACCCAUAUCAUGUCACACCCUGGCCUAAAGCAUUAGUUAGUUUCCCACUGCCCUCUGUGUUUGUACUUCUGCACAAGGCUGUUGGUGAUAUGGCCCACUGCAGCCUUUAGACCUCCAGCCCCUUCUUUUCCUACUCUAUUCCUCUUGACUUCCAUGCUUCAGCCACCCUGAGCUUCCGGUAGUUCCUAAAGGCACUGUAAUACCCUUUUCCUGACCUUAGGAGCUUUCUCAGCCCUCUGUACAUGUUUUAUCACAAUUCUUACUGUGCUGGAAUGGCCUGUUUAUUUUUGUGAUUUCUCCUUCAGUGUGUAGGCCCCAGGAUGGCCAGAAAAAGAUCAGUCUUACUCAUCACUAAUUCCUCAGAUUUCAGCAUGGCUCCUGGCACGUUAUAGGUUCCCAAACAUUAUUUAUCGAAUAGGGGGAUGGGUAGGCACAUAGGAGGGAGGAAGAAAAUAUAACAAUUCUGUGACCCCAAAGUCCGGUACCCUUUGGACUACUCCUGCCUGCCUUCUUGCAGCUCUCUAAAGAAAGUGGAAAGUAGGGGCCAUACUCAGAGGACUGGAGAGAGUGGGGCUGGGAGAUACCUCCAUUGCUCCCUCUUCAGUCCCAUCUCCACAUUCACUAGCAUUUUCUUUCUUACAAAUCUAAGAUUUGUAACUUCGCUGCUUAAAAAUCCACAAGUCCCCCACUGCUUACAGGAAACGAGUGUACCCCUUAGAGUGGCACACAGGAACUCUCAGCCUCUUGCCCUCCCUUCUCCCCUCUGCAGCUCACAGCCCUUGGCCGUCUCCCAAGGACACACUGCUGUUUCCCGCCUAUGUGACUUUUCCAGGUCCCUCUCUCUCGGGUGAAUCUUUCCAGACCUAGCUCAGUUAUCAUCACUUCCAUGGAAGUUUCCUAAUCUCUCCGGCAUCAGUAUAUACUCUUGGCUCCCAUAGAACUCUGUAGAGCCUUUGUUAUAGCCCACCUCAAUCUGUCCCAUAUUGCUGUGUGCACUGUUUGUCUGCCCUGUUAGAAUGUAAAGUGUUCAAAGAGAACAUAUAUUCACUUUGGAGAACCCGACCUUACCACUUGUGAGCUGUGUAGAUUUCGGCAAGUUGCCUAUAUUCUCUAAGCCUUGUGUAUAAUAAUGCAUAAAAAUAUUUGUUAAGAUGAGAAGUGACCAUUUCUACCUUACAGGUUUGGUGCCUGGAAUGCUGAUGUAGACCUGGAAACUAGCCCAGAUGGAAACAAGAAUGAUGAGGCCACAGUGUCCAUGAAAGUAGGGCAAGGCAGGGUGUCCAAUGGAGCCAGAGGGAGUACCAAGAGGGAGGUCCUUGGAACACGGAGGAACCAGAAGGCCCAGGAGUAGGAAGCAGUGUUGGUGUUUGUAAGGAAGUAGAAGAGGUGGUUGGCCAGAAGACAGGCCCUGUUCGAGAUCUAACCAGCACAUCAGAGCUGGCCUCUUCCUCCCUUCUUCCUUGCAGGCCACAGCCAAGCAGCCUUAACUGACACCUCCUUGGCACCAGCACACAAACAAUGGCCCAUGGCCUGACUUCUGCCAGGAUGCCCUAGGCCCGUGCCCUUCACCUAUUCUGCACCUAUAAGAUUGGUGUUUGCCCUCUUUGAUUCUUCCAGGUGCUGCCCCACCCUGUUCUUCUCCCCAUUCUUUAAGUGCUGAGAUUGGCCAGUCCCGUGCUGAGAUGAGGGAGCCGGAGGAAGGGAGACUGACUCUCCUCACUGCUGUCCAUUGGGAUGGGAUGAACUUCACAGCUCCAGUUUCCUGUGUUCUCCUCUCAGCUGCAGAACUGGAAUGUUCAUCUCUGGUUCCAGUGUUUUCAGCCCCGCUCUCAGUCAGCCAUACCCAGAAGACAGCAAAAUUGCCUGGCUGGUUUCCCAGCCCAUCUCUGGUGACAGCUCCCAGGGUGCCUACAGUCUUUAGCCACAACACCUUCAGUGGAGGUAGGGGAGGACUAUGUCCCAGAGACAAUGGUAUGCAGUGGGGAGGUGGACACAAACAGGAGAGGUCUAGGAAGGUCACUUGGGGAUCUCCGGGAGGCUUCAUGGGGUCUGAAAGAGUAAGAGGGGGUGCUGGGGGUUGAGGUUGUCCUCUUUCAGCUGUAGGUAUGCAACAGAAAUCACCGUGUUGACUAGUCUGAGGCUCGAAACCUAAAGACACCUCCCCACUCCCCAGAGAAUUUCUUAGAAAACACCUUCCAUUCUUCUCAGGGCAGAAUAAUACCCAGUGUGACAUUUAGCCCCUUUAAGCUAAUUCUUCCAAGAAGUGCAACUCUCUAGAAUGGACAGAGCAGGCUGUCACUUGGACUUGCAGCCCUGUUGAGCAGCAAAGGGGGGUUAGUUUAGGGGACAUUCAGGGUCUCCUCAGUCCUUCUCUCUUGGAACCAUGUCCACAUUUAGGUCAAGACUUGAAGGCCUUCCCUUAUUUGCUGAUACAUGAAGAUCUUUCUCUCCAGCCUAAUGCAUCACAGGCCAGCAUCAGAAGCACAGACUUAGCCCCUGGCCCUGAGAAGAGAGAUGGGAGGAGAGGAUGGAGCAUGGGGUCCAGGCACUGCUCUGUAGCUGGGGCUCUGAGCUCUGCUCUCUAUACCCUCCUUCAGAGGAGACAGGUGGGGACUGAAGCGACUUCCCCAUCUCCCACAGGGGGGCACAGACUGACAGGCAGUCAACGACCCUUGUUUCCGGGGGCUUAUCUUCUCUCCUCCAGGCAUCUGAAGCCUUGCAGCUUCCCUGCCCCUCAUUUGGCAGCCCUCUUGUCUUAGCAGUGGGGAGAGGUGGAGGCCCUGGGAAAGAGUCUGCCUAUUCCUAGACCAGACUACGGGGCUGAGGGCAGGAGAAGGGAAGGAGGUGGGAGAGCAAAGAUUGAGAAGAAGGUCUGUCCCAGGCCAGGACUGGGUGAAGGCAUGCAGCUGGUGUGCAGCUGUCUGGGCUCUCCUCUCCAGACGCCUGCCACCCCUCUCCAAGUCCUGCAUGGUGUCCUUCCUCCUUUGGAAUGCUCUAAUGCUCUUCCUUCCCACCCUGGCAUUCAGGAUCUGGAAACCUCUCUGCAGCUCAUAUCUAAGUGUAGGACAGGCAGCAUGCCAGGAAACACCCCAGCAGAGGCCCCCUACUCUUCUUUCUAUACCCCUGCCCCCACCAGGACCCUGACUGAGGGCCCAGAAUCCUGUUUUCUCCAUCCCUGCAAACUGCCAAAGCAGCGGGAGGUGUGAGGCCAAGAGCAAGAUGCUUGCUGGUAAAUUUGGAGUUGCAUCCUCAUCCUUCUUCCUUUAUUGUGGCCUCUUUCCUCCACUGCCUCCUUCCCUAAGGUGUCACAUAACUUCCCCCCAACCCAACACUUGCUCGGCCUUCAGGUCGGGUGGCCUCGGUGACCUCCUUUCUGUUCUGCUUGGACACUGUGGCCACCUCUUCCAGGAACCCAGAAGAAUGAAUUUGCAAUGGGGACUUUCAGAGACACCAGUCCGGAGAGAUUCUUCCUAGAGUGGAACAGGACCUCCUUUUAUUGUUCCCAUCACCUCCCAGAAAGAGCUUCACAUGCUGAAACUCAGAACGAGGGCCUGUGUUGCAGAUUCCAUAAAGAAGACCAAAGGUACUUCCAGCGGGCAAGCCUUGGGGCUGUGAGGCACAGCUGGCCAGAGUCCGAGAGGCACAGACCAAUGAAGAAAUCUUUUUUUUUAAACUGUGCUUUAUUUAGGGCUAAGCUGGAGAAAGCGUCAUCCAAUAGUUACAGAAGGUUACAAGGAGUUUUAGGGAGUUGAGUGUGAAAAGAGCAGUUGUACUGAACUGCAGCUGUUUUCUUUUUUUUUCUUUUUUUUUUCUUUUUUGUUUUUUGUUUUUUUUUUACAUCUGGACAUCCUAAAAGGAGGAGU